rnacentral:rRNA from 1 species
UACGGGGGGGGCAAGCGUUGUUCGGAAUUACUGGGCGUAAAGGGCUCGUAGGCGGCCAACUAAGUCAGACGUGAAAUCCCUCGGCUUAACCGGGGAACUGCGUCUGAUACUGGAUGGCUUGAGGUUGGGAGAGGGAUGCGGAAUUCCAGGUGUAGCGGUGAAAUGCGUAGAUAUCAAGAGGAACACCAGUGGCGAAGGCGAGUCCCUGGACAAACCCUGACACUGAGGCACGAAAGCCAAGGGAGCAAACAGG